rnacentral:rRNA from 1 species
CCUACGGGAGGCAGCAGUGGGGAAUUUUGGACAAUGGGCGCAAGCCUGAUCCAGCAAUGCCGCGUGAGUGAAGAAGGCCUUCGGGUUGUAAAGCUCUUUUGUCAGGGAAGAAACGGUUGAGGCUAAUAUCCUCGGCUAAUGACGGUACCUGAAGAAUAAGCACCGGCUAACUACGUGCCAGCAGCCGCGGUAAUACGUAGGGUGCAAGCGUUAAUCGGAAUUACUGGGCGUAAAGCGUGCGCAGGCGGUUUUGUAAGUCUGUCGUGAAAGCCCCGGGCUUAACCUGGGAAUUGCGAUGGAGACUGCAAGGCUUGAAUCUGGCAGAGGGGGGUAGAAUUCCACGUGUAGCAGUGAAAUGCGUAGAGAUGUGGAGGAACACCGAUGGCGAAGGCAGCCCCCUGGGUCAAGAUUGACGCUCAUGCACGGAAGCGUGGGGAGCAAACAGGAUUAGAUACCCUGGUAGUCCACGCCCUAAACGAUGUCUACUAGUUGUCGGGUCUUAAUUGACUUGGUAACGCAGCUAACGCGUGAAGUAGACCGCCUGGGGAUACGGUCGCAAGAUUAAAACUCAAAAUGAAUUGACGG